GUAUCGGACACGGGGUGCACCGAAUGCGGUGCUGAGAAUAUACCCAUUGAACCUGCUCUAGCUCGAACUAGCGAAGGGAUAGUCGUGAAUCAGCUUU
rnacentral:ncRNA from 2 species